rnacentral:rRNA from 1 species
GCUUACGGCCAUACCACCCUGAACACGCCCGAUCUCGUCUGAUCUCGGAAGCUAAGCAGGGUCGGUCCUGGUCAGUACUUGGAUGGGAGACCGCCUGGGAAUACCAGGUGCUGUAAGCU